GUGUCAGCAGCCGCGGUAAUACGGAGGAUGCAAGCGUUAUCCGGAAUUAUUGGGCGUAAAGCGUCCGCAGGCGGUUUCACAAGUCUGCUGUCAAAGACUGGAGCUUAACUCCGGGCAGGCGGUGGAAACUGUGAAACUAGAGUACGGUAGGGGCAGAGGGAAUUCCCAGUGUAGCGGUGAAAUGCGUAGAGAUUGGGAAGAACACCGGUGGCGAAAGCGCUCUGCUAGGCCGAAACUGACACUGAGGGACGAAAGCUAGGGGAGCGAAAGGGAUUAGAUACCCCUGUAGUCCUAGCUGUAAACGAUGGAGACUAGGUGUGGCCUGUAUCGACCCGGGCCGUGCCGGAGCUAACGCGUUAAGUCUCCCGCCUGGGGAGUACGCACGCAAGUGUGAAACUUAAAGGAAUUGGCGGGG
rnacentral:rRNA from 1 species